rnacentral:tRNA from 2 species
GCGCCCAUAGCUCAACUGGCAGAGCAGCGGACUCUUAAUCCGGAGGUUCUAGGUUCGAUUCCUAGUGGGCGCA